GAUGCAGGACUUAACACGCGCUCAGACCUCGCGCAGCUGUUAGUUCAUGCCGCGUGAUAAAGCGCGUCACUUCGACAAUCGUUCGUCUCUUGCGCGCGCACACACUCACUAGUGUAGACUGUCAGCGAAGCUCUGUUACAAGACUUCGGUUGUCUUUAGCUUACUACGGUAAGUAAGAAGUACUAGAAAUAGUCAUUUCUUUCAAAACUGGAAGCCAGCAUCGUACAUAAGAAGACAAAGAUACAGCUGUAGCUUUCUUGAAGAUCUGCGUGGGACCUUUAGCAGGCCCUUGUGCUGUUCAACACGCAGCACCAGGGUUGUGUUAGGUGUGUCAACAGGGCAGUCUGUAGGAAAGAAGAACUUAGGGUUGUUGGUUGUCUAGACAGAUAAACAGGAACCCAGAAAACUUCACGGUACUGGUCAAAGUUGUUGAUUGUCUAGACAGAUAAAUAGGAACCCAGAAAUCUUCACGGUACAGGUCAAAGUUGUUGAUUGUCUAGACAGAUAAACAGGAACCCAGAAAACUUCACGGUACAGGUCAAAGUUGUUGAUUGUCUAGACAGAUAAACAGGAACUCGGAAAACUUCACAGUAUAGAUCAAGGUUGUUGAUUGUCUAGAUAGAUAAACAGGAACCCGGAAAAC